rnacentral:lncRNA from 1 species
GGAGCCUGGGGAGUCCCGGGACCGACGGCGGCGGGGAUGCGGGUCUGCCUGUCCCUGGGAUGCGGGCGGGCGGGCAGGGCGAGGCCUGGAGCCCGCGGGGCGCAGGGGGCUGGACCGCGCGCUGUGAUUUUUCUGUUUAGCAGCGGGGCCUCGCCCAAGGUCGCGCGGGGCCUGUCCUGGAUAUGCUCUGGGAAGCCAGUGGCGCAGGGCAGCCGCCACCCUUCUGGAACCAGUGCCGGAGAGGGCCGGGCAGCUGGGCCUGGGGAGGGGACCGCAUGGAUGGAGCUGGGGGUAGCUGGGCGGCCUCCGGAGCCGGGAGAGUCGGCAGCUGCACUUCCGCCAGAGGUGGGUGUGUCCUUCACAUUUCAGGAAGGGAGACUUGGGGCCUGGAGAAGCGAUGUGAUUUUUCUUUUCUAGUUCAGUGCUGGUUUUGAUGGCUUUUUAUCAUGACCUUGUUAUGUCUUAUUUUAGUUUCGGCCCAUUUAGUGGAUACGACAACAGUGGCCCAGGGAGGUAUGGCAGAGCUGAGGCUUAACCCAGGGCCUGCGCCCUCCACGGCCUGCACUGCCCCACCUCCAGCUCCUUGCCCUGUUCCUCCCUCUGCACCGGAUCAGCCCCCGGACUCUGGGUCACCUCCACACCAGUUGACAGGGCCCCCCAGUCCCCACCGCCAACCACCUGGCCGGCUACUUGUCAGACAGACAUGGGGGCGUGGGCAUGGGUCCCCACCCCUAGCCUUUGCCUCUGUCACUCUACCUGCCUGGAAUGUCUACUUUUUCUUUAUAUUUUAUUUUAUUGUAUUUUUGAGACAGUCUCAUUGUCGCCCAGGCUGGAGCGCAGUGGCGCGAUCUUGGCUCGCUGCAACCUCUGUCUCCGGGGUUCAAGCGAUUCUCGGGCCUUAGCCUCCCGAGUAGCUGAGACUACAGGCGUGCACCACCAUGCCUGGCUAAUUUUUGCAUUUUUGGUGGAGACAGGGUUUCACCAUGUUGGCCAGGCUGGCCUGAACUCCUGACCUUAAGUGAUCCACUCGCCUAGGCCUUCCAAAGUGCUGGGAUUACAGGCGUGAGCCACCUCACCCAGCCUGGAGUGUCUCAUCUUCCACCACUAAAUGAAACGAUGGACCCUGAACAGAAAAAGGAACAGUGGUGGAAGAACUAGCAAAGCCCACAGCCUUGAGUUUGGCCGGUGGUUCUUAGCUGCGGUCACAGAUUGCAGGGGAGGAGCCAGAAACGGAGAUGAAACCGAGGAGCCCCCACCCUCUUCACAGGGCUAAAGCCAGAAACCACCGUCCCAGGCCACAGCCUGCCUCAUGUGGCCAUGCCUGCUCCCUGGCAGUGCGCGUCCUGCAACCCUUCCCACCCCAGGGCCUCGGCUUCCGCAAUGAAUCCCCAUGUUUCAAAUCCCCGCUGCUCCCAAGGCUACCUGCUGCCUCGGGGUAGAAUCUAAGCCCCUUCCCCUGGUGCUGGAGGCCCACAGAGUGGGCGCUGCCUGUCCCUCCACUCCUUCAGCGCCCUGACCACCGUCUGGCUGUUCCUUUGCCCCCAAAGCUGUCCCACUGGCUGCCUCCUCCUGGCAUGCCCCCAUGCCACCCACGACCUCCCAUCAACUCCUAUUGAUUAUUAGCUUCUUUCACCCACUCUCUGCCCUAGAGCAUUGGUUCUUGGGGCACAGCAUCCUUGUCCUCCACAGUGAAGCUGGUGCCCCUGUACCUGGCAUAGCCCCUGUACCUGGCAUAGCCCCUGUACCUGGCAUAGCACCUGCCCAGCAGCUGCUCGUGCAGGAAGCCCAAGUAGGGGUGGAAUAGAGAGGGAGGAGUUCCCAGCCCUGGAGGAGGGAGCGCAGAGGAAGGCUAGGCCGAUUCGCAGCUGCCUCCUAUCUCAAAAACGUGGAAGGGGCUAUAACUCUAGGGCUGGGAGGGAGGGGAGUCGUUUUCGCUGACUCUCCGCACGGACCCUCUCCUGCCCGCUAGCUGGUCAGCUCCUCCAGCUCUCCCCGCGGCAGCAGGCCGGGGAGCAGAUGUCUUGUCCAGUGUGCGCGGGGCACCGAGGUAGGGAAAGCCUGUUUAACCCGUCCCGCCCCUCCUGCUCUGGCCAGCAGCUCGCCCAAGCAGCUCUGCAGAGCGACUAGGUCAGGGCCUCUCCAGGUGUCUCCACUCGAGGGACGGCUGGCGCCACGCGGAAAAGGGGAAGCGGGUCAGGGCGGGACAAGGGCAAGAGGUUACUGCUCUGGGCGCUGUGUCCUAAGGGCUGCCUCUUGUCUGCGGAGAAUGGAGGGUGCCGGGGGUCAAGCCCGGACUCUGUCAGGGUACCCGAGUCUUAGCCACGCCAUCCUUCCCCAGCGCGCCGCGGGGGCGGGCACAGCAGGGCGGGCGUGGCUGGGAGACCGGCUGUGCCUCGCCGCCCCGCCCGUCCCAGGCCGGGAAGCUGGGACUUGAGCUGGUCUGCAUUCGGGCAAGUCCUUAGGACAAGGCAUCCUUUGGGGGCGUCACCAAGCUGGGAAGGUGAGCCCCCGAGUCAGUGUUGAGUUUGCGUAUCGGCAAGUGCCUUGAGCUCACACCCCUGGAACUGGCAGUUUGGUGAGAGAUGGAAUUUCAAGUUGAGAACUGGCCUGGGAUUUUGAACGCUUAGUCCCUGUCUCUUGCUGGCACUGCUGCUGAUGAGAAAUGAAUGUCACUGGAUUCCUGAUCCAGAGUCCAGGUGUUGUGUUUCUCUAAGAGCCUUCAGGCUUUUCCUUGCUGAUCUAAAACUGCUUCAUGUCCCUGGUGAUGCUUUUGCAUUCAUUAUCUUGGCUACUUCCUAGGCCCUGUUCUUGCUAAUUUGCUUGUAUUAUUUCUUUUACAAUUUCUUUCUUUUGUUUUCUGUUCUUCUGUUUUGGGAUUUCUGUUAAUUGGGCAUUAUACCUUCUGGAUUUAUUCUCUAAUAUUCUAGUUUUUUUCUUCUGUCUACUUUUUUAAACCUUCUGGGAUAUUUCCUUGACUUCUAACCCUUCAGCGGAGUUUUUCAUUUUAUUUAUUAUAGUUUUUAACCUUUUGGUUUUGAAAUUUUUUUUUCUUUUUUUGAGACAGAGUUUCACUCUUGUUGCCCAGGCUGGAGUGCAAUGGUGCGAUCUUGGCCCACCGCAACCUCUCCCUCCCAGGUUCAAGCGAUUCUCCUGCCUCAGCCUCCCUAGUAGCUGGGAUUACAGGCAUGUGCCACCACGCCUGGCUAAUUUUUGUAUCUUUAGUAGAGACAGGGUUUCUCCAUGUUGGUCAGGCUGGUCUCAAACUCCCGACCUCAGGUGAUCCACCCGCCUUGGCCUCCCAGAGUCCUGGGAUUACAGGCAUAAGCCAAGCCCAGCUUUUUUUUUUUUUUUUUUGAGACAAGGUCUUAUUCUGUCAUCCAGGUUAGAGUGCAUUGGUGCCAUCUCAGUUCACUGUAACCUCGACCUCCCAGGCUCAAGCAAACUUCCCACCUCAGCCCUCUCCAUCCCCCAGCAGCCAGGACUACAGGUGUAUGCCACCAUGCCUGGCUAAUGUUUGUAUUUGUAGUAGAAAUAGGGUUUUGCCAUGUUACCCAAGCUGGUCUUGAACUCCUGGGUUCCAGCAGUCCACCCGACUUGGCCUCCCAAAAUGCUGGGAUUACAAAUGUGAGCCACCACACCCAGCCUUUGUUUUGAAAUUUCAAACUUACCUCGUUUUAAACAUCUUGACACAUUUGCUUAUCAUUCUCCUUCUAUUUCUGAGCCCUUUGGAAGCAGGUUUCAGGCAUGAUGCCCUUACUAUUUUAGGGUGUGUUUCCUAAGAACAAGGAUGUUUUCUUCUAUAACCACAGAACAGUGAUCAAAAUCAGGCAACAUCAGUAUCACACUGUUUAUCCAAUUGACAGGCAAUGAUGGCGUGGAUCAUACAACUUCGGUAAUGACACUUGUCCCAGAAAUGUCCUCCGUAGUGUGUUUUCCUCAUCUAAUCCAAAAUCACGUUAUAACGUUUUGUUGUCAUAAACUUUUUUUUUUGAAACGGAGUCUCACUCUGCACUCUGUUGCCCAGGCUGGAGUAGAGUGGCACGAUCUCGGCUCACUGCAACCUCCGUCUCCUGGGUUCAAGCAAUUCUCCUGCCUCAGUCUCCUGAGUAGCUGGGAUUACAGGCGUGGACCACCACACCCAGCUAUUUGUUGUAUUUUUAGUAGAAAUGCAGUUUCACCAUGUUGGGCAGGCUGGUCUCGAACUCCUGACCUCGUGAUCCGCCUGCCUCGGCCUCCAAAAGUGCUUGAAUUACAGCCCGGCCAAACUAUCAUACUUUUAAUUCCCAAGGCCUCUCUUGUUCUCUGCACCAUUUCAUUAACUAUAGGCAAUGAGACUUUUUUAGAAAGCAGACCAACUUGAAUGCAUGGAGCUGAGUGGCGUGGCGUUGUCCCCAAGGGAGCUGGGUGACACCACGAUGGUGACCAUGUGCAGAGCCCUUCUCACCGUAGAGUGAUAAAUGGUCCGUUUCUGUUUUGUCCCAGAAGUCAGAGGUAGAGUUAAUUCCUUUCCUUUCCCCAGCACGGUUCCUGGCACACCUGGCACUCCCUAAGUGCCUGUGAUGGUUGGUUCUUACGUGACUGAACUUGCGGGUGGACGUGGCAUUACACGUGGGCAGGGCGUAUGUACACCUGUGUGUGUGUGUAGAUGCAGGUUCGCAGGGGCUGGGCAGAGGCCGCCACCUGCAGACCUGUGGGCUCGUUCACGCCAGGUGUCCAUGUCUGUGGUGUGCCCCUGUGUGUAAGUCCAGCUGGGCUGUAGACAGCCAUCUCUUCUCUGAAAGUUGAUCUGUUCGUCACUCUAAGCCCCAAGCAGCCAGGGGCUCAUGGGAUUUUCAUGAACACUCUCCUCCUGUCCCCUGCAUGUGCAAAGGUCCUGGGGCUCAGGGGUUGGAGGCUCCAUCGCCCCAGUGGUUGUGAGGCAUCUGGGCUUGUCCAGACACCUUCGCUUCUGCCCUCGGGGUCCCUUUGGGGACUUUUGUCCUUGCUGGGGUCCAGAGUUUUCUGGCAAGGCCUAGAGCCCUCUUCCUCCCCUCCCCUUCCAGGCACAGCCCCCCACCAGCACCUUAUGAUUUCACAGAAGACAAAAGCCAGCAGACUGUGUGGGCUGUCUGCCCUGAGAGUUCCAAGGCGAGGCUCCGGAGCAGCCAGCCGUGAACCCCAACUGCAGUUCGGGAAGCUGCUUUCGGGGAGGGGCAGGGAGGGGAGGGGGAUUCUCGGAGCAGGCAGGCAGCCACGCUGGAGAGCCCCUCCCCAAGCUCUUCAUUCCAACCCUGCCCUGCCCCCUGCCUUGCCGAUGGAGCCUGUCACCCUAAACCUGGCCUCAGUAAACCAACCCAGGCCAGAGAAAGAGAAGUGCGGCCCCCUCGCCCGUGUAAGUGGAACUGCAGCGGAGCCGAUAGCUCAGCCAUGAAAAAAUCAUGAGGUCGCCAGGCUGCAGGUCUGUGCUCAGGAAUAACACCCGGGGCUGGGCCCCUGGGAGUAGGUGCUGGGCCAGGAGUGAGGACAUCAAGGCCCGGUGUGCCCAGCAGGGUGGCCCUCACCUGGCUGCAGGGCCAAGGGGACAACAGAGCCUAGGCAGGGGCUUGGCACGGGGACAAGGGGGAGGGUGGAGUACCUGGGAAUCACUGGAGACAGGGAUGCCAACAGGAGUGGCAGCGGUCAGGGCCUGGCACUGAGGUGGGGGCUCCUCCGAUGCCUGCAGGGAGGGCUGCAGGCACUGCUGGCCUGUGAAAGGCGUGGUCCUCAGCCGCGGGGUGGCCCCAGGGCUCCAUUUCCCAGUUUUCAGGGCUCCAGUCCAGCAGGGCGAGGAGCCACCUCUCCCCCAGCUGCACACACGCAGGCCUGUGCCAGCUCACACCACCAGCAUCAGCGUUGCAGGGCAUCCAGCCUGGAGCACGUGCCGGUCACCAUGGCAGCAGACAGCGUGCCAGCAGGAGCCCAGGCUGGGCUCAAGCAUCCAGGAUCAGUGGUCUAGGCAUGGGGGGCUUGGGGUCCUUCCCCUUGGAGCACCAGACGGGCCAACUCGGGGAGGGGAAGGGGGACCCUGGAGCACCAGGACAGCCCGUCCACCAGCACCUCAGAAAGGGAACGAUUUCCUAAGGGCUCUCGGGAAACCUGAGGGUGGACACCAGGUGCCGGUGGGGGCGCAUGGCUUCCUGGUCCUGCCCAGCUGGCCCCGCACUGAGAGGGAUGGAGGCCGAGGCUCAGGCCUCGGGAGGCUGCCAGGGGAUUCUGAUGGCUGAGGCAUUCCUUGCCCUCUGGGCUCAGGUGAGGCCAGGAAGUCUGUCACAGCUGGCUGCUCCCUGGACCAGGGGGCUGGGGGUACUGCUACCCCAAACAGCCUCUCACUGCCCACCGGGACAAGGCACCCCCUCCCAGGUGCAGACCUCAGCUUGGGCCUCAGGCACACACUGGGCAGGGGCUUCCACCAGCCUCAGAGGUGGGCGAGGGUGGGGCGUGGAGCCCUCAGUGUGGCAGCGCCUUUGAAUGUCGCCACAGUGCAGCCUGCACAGGUCAGGGUGGCAGGCACGUGUGUAUCCCAUGUGAGUGGUUGGUUGGCACCUCCGGAGGUGUGGCCACAGGGCUUGGUGAGGGUCAGUGGGAGGGGUGCUUCCUGUUGCCUGAGAACACUGCAGGGGGCUAGAGUGCCCCAGCCCACCAUAUGCUCUUGUGAGUUGUGUAUGUCUGGAGUAUGAGUGGGACCCUGGAAAUAGCCUCCCUUGGGCAGUGUACAACCUGGGCUCCCUGCUGGGCAGCCCUGAGUAGGCUCUCAGGCUGGGAUCCAGGAUGACAGUCCCAGGGUCCAGAGUUGGCCCAGCAGGCGACUCUUCUGGCAACCUUUGCCCACCCUCAUCCAUGAGCACCUUCACACACACACACACACACACACACACCACACUCACACACAUGCACAACGCUGCACCCAUGGGCAGAGGCUCAGCCCAUCAUACAAGAACCCGGCCCUGUGCUGGGGUCCCAGCUGCUCAGGAGGCCAAGGUGGGAGGAUCGCCGGAGCCCAGGAGUUCGGGGCUGCCACUGGCCAAGAUAGCGCCACUGCAGUUCAGCCUGGGUGACAGAGCAAAACCCUGUCUCUAAGAUAAAUAAAAAGAACCAGACGGCCAGGCACGGUGGCUCACGCCUGUAAUCCCAGCACUUUGGGAGGCCGAGGCAGGUGGAUCACCUGAGGUCAGGUGUUUGAGACCAUGCUGGCCAACAUGGUGAAACCUCAUCUCUACUAAAAAUACAAAAACUAGCGGGGCGUGGUGGUGGGCGCCUGUAGUCCCAGCUACUUGGGAGGCUGAGGCAGGAGAAUCGCCUGAACCUGGGAGGUGGAGGUUGCAGUGAGCUGAGAUCACGCCACUGCACCCCAGCCUGGGCGACAGAGCAAGACUCUGUCUCAAAAAAAAAAAAAAAGGCUGUGCCUGGUGGUUCACGGCUGUAAUCCCAGCACUUUGAGAGGCUGAGGAGGCCAGAUCACAAGGUCAGGAGUUCGAGACCAGUCUGACCAACAUAAUGAAGCCCCGUGUCUACUAAAAAAUACAAAAAAAAUUAGCUGGGUAUGGUGGCAGGCGCCUGUAAUCCCAGCAACUCGGGAGGCCGAGGCAGGAGAAUCACAUGAACCUGGGAGGCAGAGGUUGCAGUGAGCCAAGAUUGUGCCAUUGCACUCCAGCCUGGGUGACAGUGUGAGACUCUGUCUGAAAAAAAUAAAAUAAUUAAUAAUAACCAGACUCCCGACAUCCAACAAUCUCAGGCACUUAUUAAGUACCUGCUGUGUGCCAGAAAUUUUGCUGAGAAUCCAGAGGAAGCGAUCCUAGCAGGUGGCUGGGCAACAGCCUGGGGUCCUGAGGUGGAGGCAGGAGGGGCUGGAAUCCCUGUAAACGGCCUCCCUCCAAGGAAGCCUGGCCCAGGCGCCCACCCUUCAGUCACCCUCCCCUGUUUAGCUCACACAGCUGGGUCAGUGCCAGGCAGCCCCACCCAACGUGGAGCUGUGGGGCCCUAGAACUGAGGAGCCGCCAUCAUUUCUGGCUCUGCCACCAAGAGGCUGCCCAGAGCCAGGCCCACUUAGUGCCGGGCGGCCAGGCUUCCCCCUGCUGAGCACCCGAUGCCUAAGCGCCCUGCCAGCCCAGACAGCGCUAAUGAGGCCGUCGUGCCAAUCAGAGGGGCAGGCCGCCUGGGCUCCUCCUCAGCCUGGCUGGGCGUUGGGGUGUGGAGGUGAAGCCAGUGUCUGUGCCUGGGGUGGGGGGGACCAUGGGCACAGCUGCCCCUCCGGCUUCCCCCACCGCUCACGGACCAACCGAGCUGUACCCUCAAAAUCCAACGGGAGGCCGGGCGCAGUGGCCACGCCUAUCAUCCCAGCACUUUCAGAGGCCGCGGCGGGCAGAUCACUUGAGGUCAGGAGUUCGAGACCAGCCUGGGCAACAUGGUGAAACCCCAUCUCUACUAAAAAUACAAACAUUAGCCGGGCACGGUAGCAAGUGCCUGUAAUCCCAGCUACUUGGGAGGCUGAGGCAGGAGGACUGCUUGAGCUCGAAGGUUCCAGUGAGCCAAGAUUGCGCCACUGGACUCCAGUUUGGGUGAGGAGCGAGACCCUAUUUCAAGAAAAAAGUUUUUUAAAAAGAAGAGCCAAUGGGAAAGUGAGGUGCAGGCAGCACCCUAGCUUGUAUCCCUAAACCAGAGACAGUUCCCUGGCAUCGGUGCUAGGCCUGUGUCCUCAGUCCCCUGGAAACUGUGGGAGAGUGUGUGUGGGCAUCGUCUCUGGGAAGGGGGUGAAACCCCAGACUGCGUCUCCCCAGGAUGGUGCCUGGCACGUGACCUGGUUUCGCACACAGUUGGUGCCUCAUAAAUGCGUGUGAAUCAUAGAGGCGGAUGAGGCCAGCACACAGGGAGAGGCGAGAGCAGGCCCUGGCGUCGUGGCGUACGCUGUGCCCUGGGGGGUAUUUGCAUGUGGGAGUCUCUCUGCCCCCACCCUGGCCCCUGAGCGUGGGGACAGUGGGGACAGGUCUCCUCUUUUUCCUCCCCUGUGUCUGCAGGUGCCUGGCACGGUUGCUGUCCAGGGCUUAGAGGACAGAGGAAGAGCCCCUGAGUCUGUGCACACUCUGCCACCAUGGCCCUGCCCACCUCUGGAGCCCACAGGUGCCCAGCCCAGGCCCCUUGCUUUUGGCUAGACUCCUGCCCUACGGGGACCCCCAUGAUGGCCACUCAGGAGAUGGGCCCAGGAGGACAGGGGAGUGACUCCAGGCCAUGACCGGAAGGGGCCUGUGGCCCCUGUUCCCAGUCCCCAGGGAGACGGGAGGGUCACACGCUGUUAUGAGGAAGAGGACACCGGGCUGGCCCUGGCCCAGGGUGGCCAGCUCUGGUUUCACUACUUGGCCCCAAGCCCCUGAGGCAGGUGCAGGAGCCAGGCACGGUGAGCAGGGCCCAGUGCCCCUCAGGCUCUGGGGAAGGGGUACAGCCAGGUGGCCCAGAGCAAGGAGGUGCUGUAGACAGGUGUGACCACUUCCAGUCUCUCCCGGCCUGCUGGCCUUCAUCCUCUCCCAGAUUCCAAGGGCCACCGCUGGGAGCAUGGGGUGGACAUCGUCCCACCAGCCUCCUGGAUCCACAUCCGUAAAGACUCCAAAGUGAAGUGAGGCUGGCUUCACUCCAGCUCACAGCAGAGGAGGGGGCAGCCUCAGGGCCCAGCAACUUGCUCAGAGCGCACAGGAGUGCGCUGGGGCCGGGCCAGCCUGGCCCAGGGCCUCUGACUCUGCCCCCUGCCUGCAGGGCUGCACGGCCACUGUGUUCCACCCUCCAGCGUGGGUGGCAGUCCAGUGCGUCAUUCUGGGGCCUGAGCAGUGUGGCCAGAGGCCGGUCUGGGGUGGAGGCGACCUGGGCUGCAGGUUGUGGCUGGGGUCCUUGCUAUGCUUCUGGCAGCAGGAAUCAGAGAAGCAGUAACUGGAUCCAGCUGAGGGCCUGGCGGCCACCGAGGGUACGGGCGGCGAUCAGGUUGCGGCCGAGCCGUGAGCGUUCCACUGGACGGCUUCUACAUCCGGAAGGGCUGGGCCGGGCCGGGCCGGGAGCCCACACGGGGUUGGAGGAGGGGGGCAGGAACGAGAGAGGCCAAAAGGUGCAGGGCCGUGAAGAGGGGCGCUGGGCCCACGCUAUGAGGAAAAGGGGAUCAACCCUGCCCUCCAGCCCCGUAGGCCCUCAGGCCCUCGGGCUCUGGGCUCUGUGCAAUCCGGGAGUGGCUGAAAUCCAAGCUGAGGGUAAUGAAAGGUGCUGCUCCUAAGCCGCACGUCUCUGAUCCG